rnacentral:rRNA from 1 species
UACAGAGGUCUCAAGCGUUGUUCGGAUUCAUUGGGCGUAAAGGGUGUGUAGGUGGCGCCGUAAGUCGGGUGUGAAAGUCGGGGGCUCAACCCUCGGAUGCCGGUGGAUACUGUCGGGCUUGAGUACGGAAGAGGCGAGUGGAAUUCCUGGUGUAGCGGUGAAAUGCGCAGAUAUCAGGAGGAACACCAAUUGCGAAGGCAGCUCGCUGGGACGUUACUGACGCUGAGACGCGAAAGCGUGGGGAGCGAACAGG